rnacentral:rRNA from 1 species
CUAAGAAUAUUCCGCAAUGGACGAAAGUCUGACGGAGCGACGCCGCGUGGAUGACGAAGGCCGAAAGGUUGUAAAGUCCUUUUGUCGAUGAAGAAUAAGGGUAGGAGGGAAUGCCUGCCUGAUGACGUUAGUCGGCGAAUAAGCCCCGGCUAAUUACGUGCC